UUGAUCUUUCUUUAACUGACGCGCGAGUGUAAGAGGAGGUCAGAUUUAGUGUACGGUGAGAAGGGGGUGUUGUUUUUUUAAAUCAGACUGGACAUUCAUAACCACUGGUGCGGAGGCUAUUUUCCAAGACUUUUCUGUGUUUAUAAAAGACUAUCUUUCUAUGGAAAGAAAACACAAUCUGCUAGAAAAGCACAUAUUACUUUAUUGUAUUAUUGUAAUAAUAGAAUUUAUUACCGUAAUUUGAGUUUUUUUCUUCACAUUGUAACAUAAAUGAAAAUGAAAUCAUAGUUCGGGACAAAAGGUCGGGGAGGGGGUAACAUCAAUCAAAGUCUGGUUAUUCCAGGCUAUUGAAAAAGCAUAUUAAUUUCUCUUUUAUCUUAUAUACACAUAGUAGUUUAUGACCAUACAUUACAUGUGAUCCAUGCAUGUUGGUGUGCUAUGAGCUGAUGGGCAUGUGUCCACUUCUUGCCUAGAUUUUCUCUAAUUUCGACAAAAUCCACACCUCAUCAUAGUACUAUGCCAGGGGAUUUAGAACUGUGUAUAAUGAAGAACCAAUUCAAUCUUACUUUAAAUCUGGGACCAUUCAAUUUCCUUCGGAGUUACAGUAUUUUCGUUGGACCGUGUUUGCUGUAACCUGAAUUUCUUCAGUAUUUGUCCCCAUGUAUAUGCUAGGCGUAAUGCUAACACCUCCAUGAUACAUAUCUUUUUUCAAUACGUACACUGCUACAAUCGCAAUGUAUAAUGAAAUAUUCCAUUCAUUUCUAACACAUAUAUUUAGUCCCUUACCAAAUGACACUGCCAAUAUAGUGCAUCCCUAUCCUAAACUAAAUAUGACCAGUACUUUUGUGAGAAACUAUCCCUUACUAUCAUGCAGGUCUUAUUUUGCUUCAAAAUAUCAACCAAUAAUUCUUAAUUAGCAUUAAAUUUAACAUUUUUUCAUCUUUAAAAAGGUUAUUGACAUCCCAGUCUUUAGUGGGAAGCUUCCAGGUAUCUUCUGCUAACUGAGAGUCUACUGGGAAAUCCAGACAUGUAUUGGAAGUAUGUUGAUGGGGAGGACCAGGGACACCUGAUCCAAGAACUGUGGCAUUUCAUUCGGAGUGAUAACCUGGCAUUCAGUUGAUAUGGGACCCAAUUAUUCAGAGAACUGCAAAUUUUAUGCUGAGAUGGUCAUAUCUAGGGGAGGGAUUGGCAAGGAAGUUUGAAGUCUGUCACUGAAGAAGAACUGUACAGAUUUUCGGGCAUUAUCUGCUGAAAGGUUCCCGUCGAUAAACAGAAAUUGAUCAACCCAUGUUCCUAUGAGAACAACACAGUAUCAAGGAUGAUGUCUAGAAAUAGGUUUUAAGAGAAUGUGACGGGAGAUUGUAUGGAGAGAACUGUACACAACCCUGCGGUCAAUGUCGGAAUUUAGAACCCAGUCAUCACAUUAACGGAGCACUGCGACAGAGCAUAUCAAGGCGGGAAAUGUACUGAAGG